GGGAGUUCCUCUUUUGAGAGAUAUGAGGGACUAAACUGUUUAUUAGAGAAUCAGUCUUCAGUGGUUCUGUUAAAAGGACCCCAAAGAACCGUAUGCUGGGUCAUCAUAUAAUCAUGGACUCAAAGAUUGGCCCACAUGUAUGGCUGACACAUGAGGAGGUUUAUGAUGCUGCUCUUCAAAUUGGUUCUGGAUGGUCAAUCUUGUAAGUUGACAAUUUAGCCAAACAUUAGUUGAAGUAAAAAGUGGUUUUGAAGUUUGAAAAACUAGUGUGACUUUGCAUAUUUGAAACUGAUUAAUAUAAAUAGUGGGUUAUGCUUUUUCAGGGAGAACGAUGCAGUAUAUAUGGAUCCAAUUUCCCAGAAUCGAUCAUUUCAAUGGAGGGUAUGUGGCUAAAGUUAAUUUAAACUUUAACAACCACCGGCCAUUGAAUCAGUCUUAGUUUGUUCUGCUGGUGUCACUGAUGCAAAUUCUGUGGAGUUCAUCAUCAACCAUCCUGAAGUUUCGAUAGCUUUUGUCCAAGAGAAUAAGAUAGAUACUGGCUAUGCCAACAUGCCUUCGAAGGUGUACUUCACAUCUAAAAACUAUUGCCAGCUUUGGGAGAUUUCUAGCAUGCAAAAGAAGGAAGCUGAAGACUUGUCUUGCUUCUCUUGGAGAGAAUUUGCUCUAUUGGUAAGACCUUCACAUCAAUGCUUUAUUUACAGCUCAAGUAGUACAUUCUUUGUUGUCAUCUUACCCUGUUUAUCUAUCUUUUUCAGGGAAGUUUAGAUUGAGAAUUUCCUCGAUCUGACAUCUGCACGAUAAUGUAUCCAAGUGGAACGACAGGAGAACGUAAAGAUGUUUUAACUAAUGGGACGAUCAUGGCAGAAGUUUGUCUACAGAUCAACGGCUAUUUGAAACAAAGAAAGUGAUGAAUUUAUACUUGAAGAUCACCAAAACAGUCGCCUUAGAGGUGAAGACAUCAGAGACUAAAAAAUCUAAAGGCAAUGUUAUGUGAGAAGGAAGGCAUUUCAGAAGAUAUUCAGGAGCUCUUUUUCACCGGGGAGCGUCUCAAGGAUGAGGACAAGCUGGUUGGUUACGGCAUUCAUACCAACUCCACUCUCCAUCUUGUCCUCCGAAACCCGGGUUCAAUAAAAUUCCUAGUCUAUAUAUGAUCAGACGAUAAAACACUUGAAAUCGAAGCAAACACUCUUGAUACUAUCCAAAACAUCAAAUCCUUGAUUCAGAAAAAAGAAGGCAUACAAUCAGAUUGUUACACUUUUUUCUACAGUGGAAAGCUACUGAAAGAUAACCAGACUUUGGUCUCUCUCAAUAUACAGCCAGAAUCUAUUGUUUGUUUGGUGUUUAAUCAAAGAGACGUGCUGUCGAUUUCUGUGAAAAUGCCUAGUGGAGAGAUCUUGAAACCCAAAGUUAAGCUCUUGCACACGAUUAGUGAUUUCAAGGCAAUAAUUGCGAGUAUGGUUGGUUUUCUGGGAAGCAAGCAGCAUAUACUGUACGAUGGAAGGAGACUCGAGGAUGGGAAGACUUGAGCUUUUUAUAAAAUCGGGGAGAACUCCAUCUUACACAUGCUGCCUAGGCCUACUUAUCCCUUUCAGAUAUUUGUGAAGGAUUGUGAUGGAAAAUCGUUAAUUCUUAAUGUACGCAAAGAGGACACAGUCAAGGAUGUGAAGGAUAACAUUUUCGAGCAGCUGGGCGUGUCGGUUGAUGCCUAUUUUGUUCUGUUUGGUGGAAAAAUUCUAGAGGAUGACCGUGGUUUGGCUAGUUACAGUAUCAAGAAACAUUCCACUCUCCAUAUGUGUUUGUGCCACAGCUACAAAUUGCUAAAUGAAUGCUAUUGAUCCUGAAAAUAUUGAAAAAAAAACCUGGUGAAGAUGUAUUCUGAUUGCAUAUGGAGGAUCACUUUUCUGUGUAAUGAUGGUUUUUUGAAAAUGUUUUCAGUGUUUUAUAUGUUCCAUGUUUUGUGACUAUCUAUUUCGACUACUAUCGGUUUUGGACAUAUUGCAAGCAUGUUGUAAUAUGGAUAUAUGGAGAAAAAGUAGCUCCAAUGUGAAUGUAUGAUGUUGCUUUACUUUUUGA